rnacentral:lncRNA from 1 species
AUUUUUACCAGCUGCUGUUGAUGACCAGCUUGAACCAUCUGUUGGACUAGAUCAUGCAGUAGCGGCAGGAUCCUUGGAGGGAUAAGAGUUGGUGGUGUAUAGACGGCAUUAUCUGUUCCGUUAUUAUGCUCAGCAUGACUACUUGAUAAAUGGUUCUUACCAUUAGAUUCUCCUGGUGAUCCAGAUGAUGGCCGCAUUGAAU